GGGUUGUGAGGUUAAGCGACUAAGCGUACACGGUGGAUGCCCUGGCAGUCAGAGGCGAUGAAGGACGUGCUAAUCUGCGAAAAGCGUCGGUAAGGUGAUAUGAACCGUUACAGCCGGCGAUGUCCGAAUGGGGAAACCCAGUGUGAUUCGUCACACUAUCGUUAACUGAAUACAUAGGUUAACGAGGCGAACCGGGGGAACUGAAACA
rnacentral:rRNA from 2 species